GCAAUCUGUCGCGUCAGACUGCGCGCCGCCGUCAUGGGUCAAAAACGCGACGCGCGGAGCGGCCUUUGCUCUCACCGGGGUCGAGCCGCGGCGAGGGAACGGAUCGGAGACGCUGCGCCUGCUCAGAAGGUAGCGCAGCGGGGAAAGGCGGGAGAGCGUUAACUUCUGAGCCUGCGCGGUGGGAGUUGCUCAAGCAGGUGGUAGCGACUUGGCUUCCGGGCAGCGGGUAAAGGAAAUGCCUCAGGCCAGAAGAAGCAGUGGCAGCCUCUCACCUGCAGUGGGAUCUGUCUCAACUCCCAUUCCGUCUCCAGAGCCAAAGUUUGGAGGGAACGUGAGCUCGGGUCAGGACACACCAGGACAGCCUCAUCCACCACACCACAGGCUCCAGACAGGUGCUGCAGCCACGGAGUUGAAACCCUAACCUACAGAAAAGUCAUCGUUAACAGGAAGCUCGUGAAAGAUUUUUACAUUUCCCUCUCAGCCCAACAGCAAUAUUGCUGCCAGCAUCCCACUGGGGGUCCUAAGCUCAAAGGUUCUUCAUGGUUGGUUGUAUAGGAGUUCUUCCUGUCCCCUGAAACCCCACCCUCCAACCUCCUGAGAGCCUUCAAAGUUGGAAAAAAUAUCAGGAUUUUCUUUCUGGUCACUGGAAAAAUAUAUCCGAUAAUUUUAAAUACCUGGCACUUCAGAAUCAGCACUUCUUUACUAUAUUUGCCAUAUGUGGUGUCCUACUGUGAUUUCACAGCACUGUAAGAUACUUACAGGCAGAGACUAGAUCUAUGUAAUUUUUUAGCCACCCCAGAAGAUAACACAUGCAAAUAUGAGUACUUUAAAUAGAGGCCUAAUGGGAAGGCAGCUGGCAAGUGACCAGAAUGAGGGAGCAUAAGUAGCUUUUGCAUCUGCCCAGCCAAGUUCCCUGUUCCCCAGUACAAAGAAAUCUAUCAAGUCUCCCCCAACCCCACCUUAUUCACAGGCUCCUGUCACCCUCCUGUACCUGCUGAACAAUCUCUCCAUCUUCCACAUUAAACUUGACAAUGUUCACAUGGCUGAAGGGAACAACUCCGAGGGCCCACACCACCCCAGAG
rnacentral:lncRNA from 1 species